ACGGAAGGCAGCAGUGGGGAAUAUUGCACAAUGGGCGAAAGCCUGAUGCAGCGACGCCGCGUGAGCGAAGAAGUAUUUCGGUAUGUAAAGCUCUAUCAGCAGGGAAGAUAAUGACGGUACCUGACUAAGAAGCACCGGCUAAAUACGUGCCAGCAGCCGCGGUAAUACGUAUGGUGCAAGCGUUAUCCGGAUUUACUGGGUGUAAAGGGAGCGUAGGCGGUUUUACAAGUCUGAUGUGAAAGCCCGGGGCUCAACUCCGGUAUUGCAUUGGAAACUGUAGAACUAGAGUGUCGGAGGGGUAAGUGGAAUUCCUAGUGUAGCGGUGAAAUGCGUAGAUAUUAGGAGGAAUACCAGUGGCGAAGGCGUCUUUCUGGACUGUUACUGACACUGAGGCACGAAAGCGUGGGGAGCAAACAGGAUUAGAUACCCUGGUA
rnacentral:rRNA from 1 species